GAGUGGCGAACUGGUGAGUAACACGUGGGAAACCUGCCCAGAAGCGGGGGAUAACACCUGGAAACAGAUGCUAAUACCGCAUAACAACUUGGACCGCAUGGUCCGAGCUUGAAAGAUGGCUUCGGCUAUCACUUUUGGAUGGUCCCGCGGCGUAUUAGCUAGAUGGUGGGGUAACGGCUCACCAUGGCAAUGAUACGUAGCCGACCUGAGAGGGUAAUCGGCCACAUUGGGACUGAGACACGGCCCAAACUCCUACGGGAGGCAGCAGUAGGGAAUCUUCCACAAUGGACGAAAGUCUGAUGGAGCAAACGCCGCGUGAGUGAAGAAGGGUUUCGGCUCGUAAAACUCUGUUGUUAAAGAAGAACAUAUCUGAGAGUAACUGUUCAGGUAUUGACGGUAUUUAACCAGAAAAGGCCAGGGCUAAACUACGUGCCAGCAGCCGCGGUAAUACGUAGGUGGCAAGCGUUGUCCGGAUUUAUUGGGCGUAAAGCGAGCGCAGGCGGUUUUUUAAGUCUGAUGUGAAAGCCUUCGGCUCAACCGAAGAAGUGCAUCGGAAACUGGGAAACUUGAGUGCAGAAGAGGACAGUGGAACUCCAUGUGUAGCGGUGAAAUGCGUAGAUAUAUGGAAGAACACCAGUGGCGAAGGCGGCUGUCUGGUCUGUAACUGACGCUGAGGCUCGAAAGUAUGGGUAGCAAACAGGAUUAGAUACCCUGGUAGUCCAUACCGUAAACGAUGAAUGCUAAGUGUUGGAGGGUUUCCGCCCUUCAGUGCUGCAGCUAACGCAUUAAGCAUUCCGCCUGGGGAGUACGGCCGCAAGGCUGAAACUCAAAGGAAUUGACGGGGGCCCGCACAAGCGGUGGAGCAUGUGGUUUAAUUCGAAGCUACGCGAAGAACCUUACCAGGUCUUGACAUACUAUGCAAAUCUAAGAGAUUAGACGUUCCCUUCGGGGACAUGGAUACAGGUGGUGCAUGGUUGUCGUCAGCUCGUGUCGUGAGAUGUUGGGUUAAGUCCCGCAACGAGCGCAACCCUUAUUAUCAGUUGCCAGCAUUAAGUUGGGCACUCUGGUGAGACUGCCGGUGACAAACCGGAGGAAGGUGGGGAUGACGUCAAAUCAUCAUGCCCCUUAUGACCUGGGCUACACACGUGCUACAAUGGAUGGUACAACGAGUUGCGAACUCGCGAGAGUAAGCUAAUCUCUUAAAGCCAUUCUCAGUUCGGAUUGUAGGCUGCAACUCGCCUACAUGAAGUCGGA
rnacentral:rRNA from 2 species